ACCCGCUGACAAAAUAACUGGUGGCUACUUACUAAAAAAAAGAAAAAGCUGGUGGCUACGAUCUCAUCUGAUCUGAUCAGACGCCAUGCUUGUACCCUUGUAGUACCACCGCUGCUUUUACUCUCGCCGACUGACUGACCGAAGCUUUACUGCGCACGCAAUGUAUAUGUAAUUCACAGUUUCAGUACUUGCUUCGCCCUCGGC
rnacentral:lncRNA from 1 species